rnacentral:rRNA from 1 species
UAAUACUUGCUCGAUUUGUACUGCUAACUGGUGGUGUUAGACAGAUUUACAGGUAUUUGUUAGGGUUGAAAAGGAAAGGUGCAUAAUAACACAAGGAGUGAUAACAAAGAAACAACACGUAUAAAUAUUUAUUUUAUUAAGUGUGUAUCAAUCGAGUUUCUGACCUAUCAGCUUUUGAUGUUAGGGUAUUGGCCUAACAUGGCUAUGACGGGUAACGGGGAAUUAGAGUUCGAUUCCGGAGAGGGAGCCUGAGAAAUAGCUACCACAUCUAAGGAAGGCAGCAGGCGCGUAAAUUACCCAAUUCUAAAAAAGAGAGGUAGUGACAAGAAAUAACGAUGCAAGGCCAAAUUUUGGUUUUGCAAUUGGAAUGAUAGGAAUUUAAAAACUUCCUAAAGUAACAAUUGGAGGGCAAGUCUGGUGCCAGCAGCCGCGGUAAUUCCAGCUCCAAUAGCGUAUAUUAAAAUUGUUGCAGUUAAAACGCUCGUAGUUGAACUUCAAAGAAUCUAUUUCUAAGGAAUACAUUAUUGGACCGCGCAUUUAUAUAAAGGAUUGCGUUUUAACGCUUUACUUAAUACUUGAUUCUUCAAUAAGUAUUUCUUAAAAUAAAUAAUGGUUCUUUUUAAAAAAUUAUUUUUUGCAUAUUUUUUAUGCAAUUAGAAUUUUUUGUUACUUUGAGUAAAUUAGAGUGUUCAAAGCAAACAGUUAAAACAGUUUUACUGUGUUUGAAUACUACAGCAUGGAAUAACAAAAUUGAACAAGUCAAGAUGAUAUGUUCUUUAUCCUUAUUUUGGCUUAGUUACGAUUAACAGGAGUAGUUUGGGGACAUUAGUAUUCAGAAGUCAGAGGUGAAAUUCUUAGAUUUUCUGGAGACUAACAACUGCGAAAGCAUUUGUCUAAAAUAUUUCCAUUAAUCAAGAACGAAAGUUAAGGGAGUGAAGACGAUCAGAUACCGUCGUAAUCUUAACCAUAAACUAUGCCGACUAGGUGUUGGAUGAAAGUGUAAAAAAUAAGAAAUGUUCCAACGUAACAAUUGGAAUAUUUCUUAGCUUGCUUCCUUCAGUACCUUAUGAGAAAUCAAAGUCUUUGGGUUCUGGGGCGAGUAUUCGCGCAAGCGAGAAAGUUAAAAGAAUUGACGGAAGGGCACCACCAGGCGUGGAGCUUGCGGCUUAAUUCGACUCAACACGGGAAAACUCACUAGUUUAAGACAAGAGUAGGAUUGACAGAUUAAUAGCUCUUUCUUGAUUUCUUGGAUAGUGAUGCAUGGCCGUUUUUAGUUCGUGAAUAUGAUUUGUCUGGUUAAUUCCGAUAACGAACGAGAUCUUAACCUGCUAAUUAGCGGUAAAUACGUGAUAUUCUUAUAACAAAUUGUAUAUCGAAUAGAAAACAUAUAAAAGUUGAAAAUAUUAGAAUACUAUUAUUGUAUUCUUUUCCCUUUUCUUCUCUUUGUAGUUUUCUGUUCUUUUACUUUUUAAUGUAAGAAUGUAUUUACUUGAUUGUAAAGCUUCUUAGAGGGACAUUGUGUGUCUAACACAAGGAAGUUUAAGGCAACAACAGGUCUGUGAUGUCCUUAGAUAAACUAGGCUGCACGCGUGCUACACUGAUAUAUAUAACGAGUUAUUAAAAAUAUAUCUUUGUAUAUAUAUAUAUUUCUAUAUAUGUAUAUUCAUAUGAUAUAAUUUUCCUUCACUGAAAAGUGUAGGCAAUCUUUAUCAAUAUAUAUCGUGAUGGGGAUAGAUUAUUGCAAUUAUUAAUCUUAAACGAGGAAUGCCUAGUAAGCAUGAUUCAUCAGAUUGUGCUGACUACGUCCCUGCCCUUUGUACACACCGCCCGUCGCUCCUACCGAUUGAAAGAUAUGAUGAAUUGUUUGGACAAGAAGAAAAAGAUUUAUAUUUUUUUCUUUUUGGAAAAAUCGUAAAU